rnacentral:rRNA from 1 species
AUUGAACGCUGGCGGCAGGCCUAACACAUGCAAGUCGAGCGGAUGAAGGGAGCUUGCUCCUGGAUUCAGCGGCGGACGGGUGAGUAAUGCCUAGGAAUCUGCCUGGUAGUGGGGGAUAACGUCCGGAAACGGGCGCUAAUACCGCAUACGUCCUGAGGGAGAAAGUGGGGGAUCUUCGGACCUCACGCUAUCAGAUGAGCCUAGGUCGGAUUAGCUAGUUGGUGGGGUAAAGGCCUACCAAGGCGACGAUCCGUAGCUGGUCUGAGAGGAUGAUCAGUCACACUGGAACUGAGACACGGUCCAGACUCCUACGGGAGGCAGCAGUGGGGAAUAUUGGACGAUGGGCGAAAGCCUGAUCCAGCCAUGCCGCGUGUGUGAAGAAGGUCUUCGGAUUGUAAAGCACUUUAAGUUGGGAGGAAGGGCAGUAAGUUAAUACCUUGCUGUUUUGACGUUACCAACAGAAUAAGCACCGGCUAACUUCGUG